rnacentral:piRNA from 1 species
UAGACCUGGUAUAGGAGUCCUGCA